GCCUGGGUAGCUUAGCGGUAAAGCGCGUCCUUGGUAAGGACGAGACCCCGGGUUCAAAUCCCGGCCUAGGCUC
rnacentral:tRNA from 2 species